UAAGGAAUAUUGGUCAAUGGACGAAAGUCUGAACCAGCCAUGCCGCGUGAAGGAUGAAGGUCCUCUGGAUUGUAAACUUCUUUUAUCUGGGACGAAAAAAGGGAAUUCUUUCUCACUUGACGGUACCAGAAGAAUAAGCACCGGCUAACUCCGUG
rnacentral:rRNA from 1 species